CCGGUCGGCACCAGCGUCCAGCGGCUACCAUUUCAUCGCCGGCAGUCCAAGCUCGAGCUCCAGCGACUGGCUGCAGCAAGCAAGCACCUGACAGCUGCUGCUCCUGACACGGCAGUUCGGAGUCGUUGCUCCCACCGCACUUCCAUCUUCUCCAUUCAUGCACUGUUCAGAUCCAACCUACAGCCAAAGAGCGAGCUCCGGCAACCGGCGGGCACCAUACAAUUGCUGCUCCUCCACCUCCACCAUUAUCUAGAUUUUGAGCUAUUGAGGAUGAUAUUUGGGACUAGUUUGGAAGAGGCAUGGAUUGGAAACGUUGGAGAACAACAAGAUUAA
rnacentral:lncRNA from 2 species